UACGUAGGGUGCAAGCGUUAAUCGGAAUUACUGGGCGUAAAGCGUGCGCAGGCGGUGAUGUAAGACAGGUGUGAAAUCCCCGGGCUUAACCUGGGAACUGCAUUUGUGACUGCAUCGCUGGAGUGCGGCAGAGGGGGAUGGAAUUCCGCGUGUAGCAGUGAAAUGCGUAGAUAUGCGGAGGAACACCGAUGGCGAAGGCAAUCCCCUGGGCCUGCACUGACGCUCAUGCACGAAAGCGUGGGGAGCAAACAGGG
rnacentral:rRNA from 1 species